ACUCAAAGGAAUUGACGGGGGCCCGCACAAGCGGUGGAGCAUGUGGUUUAAUUCGAUGCAACGCGAAGAACCUUACCUACCCUUGACAUCUAGCGAAUCCUGCUGAGAGGCGGGAGUGCCGAAAGGAACGCUAAGACAGGUGCUGCAUGGCUGUCGUCAGCUCGUGUUGUGAGAUGUUGGGUUAAGUCCCGUAACGAGCGCAACCCUUAUGCUUAGUUGCCAACAUGUAAUGGUGGGGACUCUAAGGAGACUGCCGGUGAUGAACCGGAGGAAGGCGGGGACGACGUCAAGUCAUCAUGGCCUUUAUGGGUAGGGCUACACACGUGCUACAAUGGUCAGUACAGAGGGAAGCGAAAGCGCGAGCUGAAGCCAAUCCGAAAAAGCUGAUCGUAGUCCGGAUCGGAGUCUGCAACUCGACUCCGUGAAGUCGGAAUCGCUAGUAAUCGCGAAUCAGCAUGUCGCGGUGAAUACGUUCCCGGGCCUUGUACACACCGCCCGU
rnacentral:rRNA from 1 species